UCGGCCCUCCUCUUCUCUCUCUCUGCCCCCUCAUCCUCUCGGAUUCCACGGCUCUCCUCCCUGACCAUCCCGAUUUGUCGUCGUUCGGGGGUGGCCGCGAGCCUGCGACGAACCGGACGGCGGCGAGCUGCUCACGGUGAAGUGAGCAGGCGGCGUCUCCGUGGAGGUGCAGCUACGCGGGAGGGGCUCACCCUCGCCUCGCUCUGCUCUCCGCAAAUGCUCCCCUCAGUCUCCUGCCUCUGCUUCCGCGCCGUGGCGGCGAGUACCAAAUCUUCCCCGAGUUCGCUCUGGGUAGCUUUCUCGCCGGCCAGAUGGAGAGGAACGGAGGCGGUCUCAAGGAAGGCACCGUACGGGAGUCUGCAGCGGAUGUGCCCAGGGGCCUCAUGCACCUCCACGGCGAGAUCAAUUGGAGGAAAGUGUUUAUCAGAGCGGAAGGCUGGCCCAAGCGCACGAACUUCGGCUAUGCGAGGAUCAUGGAUUCGGCGGGCGUUCAUGGCGCUUGAGGUGGCGCACAAGGAGGAGCAGGACGACCCGUUGAUAUUUGGAUUUGGCGGUGCGCCUUACGACGCAAGCCGACCCGCGUCCGUGGAGGCCUGCUUCCGCGGCGGCAGCGCUCAACCAAGGUGAGGUCGAUAAGAGGGGCUCCUCCAUGUCAAUUUCCGAGGGGGCCGCCCCAUUCCUCUCCUCGCAAGGGGAGAUUGACCGCCGGCAUCUCCGUCUGGCUCCCUCCUCCUCUUCAAUCUACGGAUCCAGGCCACUCCAUUCUGGUCCUGGAAGUAAUUGGGACCUUCUUCCAUUAAACUUGGUGGAGCUGGUGUACCCGAUCUGUCCCCUCUCUCUCUUCUGGGAUGAUAUGUUGAAUGUUCGGAUGCAGAACAUUCUGGGAUGAUGGUGUAUUAGUGCCCUCCACAUGUUUGUUGUUAUGUUUGUUUCAACUGAAACUAUUUUUUUAGGGUUCUCUGGUGGUCUUUUCUCUAGGCUGCACACAUACUGAUCCAUACAGGUUAAGUGUCCAUUCUUCUUUUCUCACUGCCUUUAUCCGUUUAUUGUGUUUCAAACUGUUGUGGCAAUAUGUACAAGACUGAGGCGUGCAUUUUAGGUACAAAGUUUACUCUCAUCACUACACACAUGUAUGCAGGCUGCUAUCUUCUUCUCAUACAUGCAUGCUAAAAUGCAUGUAAUUAAUUUGGAUGCAUAUCAGCAAUGGAGAGUGAGAGUGAGGGGUCAAAAGCAUUCAGUUAGCAUAUCUACUGUGUAUGCUGCAACAUGCACACUCGAGGUGAGCUGCGUCAGCGCACUAUGUGAACAUGUCGUGCAACAGUUUAAGCGACUACAUUCAAGAAUUCUGUGUGAUCUCUUGGUGGCGUCCAUGUAUGAGGACCUUCAGAUUUGGGACGAUAGACACCUUCAGUGAAAAUAGGAGUAAGGAUUGGACCAAAGAAAGAAGUGCGCGAACCUGCUACCAGAGAGCGCAUAAAGGGUUUGGAGUAGAGGCAGGAUGCGCUGCGGAUGGAGCAGCAAAAACUCUUUAUUCGUCUAGCAUCUCGAGGAAAUCACCAAAUGGGUUUGGUACGUCUUCUCCUGAUCUUUAUUUGUAAAAAAAAAGGCUCUUCAUGUUCCCUUGGUAUGAUGAGAUUUUUUUGCUUAUCGAUAGGUUAUUCAGGUAUUCCUCUCAUCUUCCUCAUGGUUAGAUUUGAUAUGUUUCUCAUCCUUUUGGAUUGUUAGGAAUGCCCGUACCUCUGCACUAUUUUUUCUUGAUAUGGUUGUAGUCCAAAUUUGAAUAGUUACACUAUAUAUGUCUGAAUAUGGCUUCUCGCCAUGGAUACUUAUGUCGCUGAUAAGGUCAUCUCUCAGUAACUCUUGAUGUUUUAGUUCAGUGGUACGCUAAAAAGGGUGAUCCUAUGGCCUUCCAAAAAAUACUGUUACUUAGUGGCAGCCCUUAUUUUUUGAAUCAGUUGAAAGCUACUGUCUUUCCGCUGUACUACUUGAGCUCUAGGUGUUUCUUCAUAACCAAGCAAUGCUUCUUAUGGCAGUAAAAGCUGAUAUUAAGUUGGAAGCCAUGCUAAAAAAUUGUGCAACAUAUUAGGGCCUAGGUUUAUACUUUAUCAUAGCUAUUCUUUAUUGCAUUUGGCCCACAAAUUGUGGAUGAAGAUACCUAUCUCACCAAUCAGCUAAAGUAAUGUCGACCUGGGCAAUGGCUACUGAUAUAUUGCCUCAGUUCAAGAGGUCAGCUUCUUUCAGGCUAAAACCCAUGCAAGGGACAAAAUUUUCAGUGAAUACUUUCAUAGGAAGCAUUACAAAUGUUUAUUCCAGGGCAGGUUCUUCCUCGCUUGAUUUGUGUAUUUUUCUCUUCAUAUGUUUUUCUUUCUUUGCAAUCCACCCUCAUAUAUUACAUUGUUCUGUUUCGAUUAGCACCACAGUAAGCAGGCCUCUGUAAAUCGCUCUGGCCAUCCUCCUCUGCUUGCCCUCGCAUUUCCGAACCAUAUAUUCACUGGUUGAUAAGAAGAAAAUAUUUAUCUUGGCUACAUGGUUUGCCUUCCAGUUUUGGUUGCAGUAUGUGGUUCUCUAUGCGGAAAAUAAAUACUUACGCCCAGGUUUAGAAGACAGCAAAGCAAACUGCUUUGGCGAAAGAUCUGUUGAAGUCCUGACUGGAAAAUAUUAUGCACCUAUUUACCUGUAGUAUUAGGUAUCUAUGUGUUAUUAUGACAAGUGUUCUGAUUAGUUCACUCGGCAUGUCUACUAGGCAUAGUCAGACUAUGGUCAUAUUAAGUGCCUCUGUGUAUAAUCAUGACAAAUGCCUCCUUCAUCUUACUAAUCGUACUACUAGAUUGAUUUAAUCGAUAUUGUUUCAGUACUGUCUACAACUCGCAUCAUAUUCUUAAGUCUCAAAUCCAGUAUACAAAAGGACAUCACUCAGUCUGACAUAUCGGCAAAUCAUCUUGGUGGCUUGGUUUAUAUAAAUACAAAACAAUACCAGUAUCCUCGCCUUACAAAUAUGGCAAAGGAGGAAGAAAACAGGCGCACCAUAGACUCUCCCUUCGAUAAUGCCGGCGAGCCCUGAAUCCCAUGCGGUGAAACCGCCCUCUCUGGUGGUGCCCACCCAGCCUCCCCCAGCUGACACCAACCUGCCACACCGCACCGGCAUGGCUGCUAUUGCCGAGGUACCUGUAGAGCUUGGAAACGACAGUCAGACAAGCCAAGCAAACACCACAGACAGCCAAGCCAAGCAAACACCACAAACAGCGAAGAGAAGGCUCGGAAGCAAACACCACAGACAGCCAAGCCAAGCAAACACCACAAACAGCGAAGAGAAGGCUCGGAUGGAGCAUGCUCGCUGGAUCUACGCCAACAACAUAUUAUUCCUUGAGCCUCUUCUUGCACGGUAGAGCCGUGCAAAACAAGAUCGAGCAGACCAGGCUCGCGAAGCCCGAGCCACUUAGGGCACGUGCGAUGAUUCAUAAGGCCGUCUUAUCUUAGCAGUCGCUAUGUAAUUUAGAUAUAACAACAAAAUAUAAUGUAUAAUUGAUUAUUUUUAGUCUUACCUUCAGUAAUCAGAUAUCCUAAAUUUGUGGUCAUAGAGAUUAUGCUAAGAGAUCAUCUCUUAAUUAAGAGAAGGCAAACCUUUUUUUUUACAUUCUCUUUCCUCCACCUCAGCGUUUAUUCUACGUGGCACUGCUAAGAUAUUACUAUUGUAUAUGCUCUAAC